AACUAAUUUGAGCCCUGCCCUUCCCAAAAUCCCAGGGGCGGAUCCAGGGGUGAUUUUGAGGGGCUGAAGCCCCCCCCUUUUGAAAAAACUACCAUGUGUUGUAGUCUGACUCUACAACAAUUUUGCCACCAAUUAUGCAUCUGUAGACUCACUUGAAAUCACUUGAGAGAUGCUAGACAACAGCUACUAGGAGUAUAAAGGAUCUAGGGUAGCUAGCUGGACGUACCUAGCUAGCUAGCUAGCUGUACGUACGUAUGUACAUCUGAUCAGUACAGUAUCACCAUAGUAUUAAAAGUAAGUGCAGAGGUCAACGUAUUCUACUCAUUAAUAUGAAAGUUCAAAGGUCAAAUCUUGCAAAAAAAUCACCUCUGGCGAGGCUGCCCCUUUCUAGCUAGCCCCCCCCUUUUGUUUUUCCUGGAUCCGCCCCUGAAUCCUGGCUACGCCACUGUAAAGAGUAUUAGAGUGAAGGAAUAAGCUUUUUUCUAUAAUGAAUUUUGCAUUAAAGUUUGCAUUUGCAAUUGAGACAACGAACGAAUUGCCAUACUUUAUCAUCUUAGCCAAACAGUGGGAGCAAACCUUUGUUCGAAGGCAUAGUCCGUAGUCUGUGAGAAUUAUAGACCUCAAGAAAGAAGAAAUUGAUUCUGCCAGGAUUUGGGGUUCAAAAUGGAUUCUCUCACACACGGGGAUGAGCGCGCAUCAGAGGAGGUUGAGAAUGAUGUGUCCGAGUUCUCUCUCUCUGUGUUCUAUAUAUGACAAUGGCCGCAAAGAGUUGUGUAAGGACGAUGACUACCCACUCAAGCUACGACUCAAGUUAGGACCCUCUGAAGAUAUUGCUAAACUGUUUGUCACACUGUAAAAACACCCCGGUGAAGGUCACCAAUUUGAGUGUGCAUUGAAACCUCAGAGGUGGAGGAGAUUCUGUCAGCAGAGGCUUCACAGUGGAUCAAGUUCACUGUGCACGAACUGGAGACAUUCUGCACCAAAUUCACCGAGGAGGAAGAAAAGGAGGAAAAGAGGAUUAGAUCAAGGUUUGGUCGCUGGAGAGGAGAGGUUAAAGAUGCACUGAAUAGUUCACAAACAGACACUUAGCACUUGAGUACAGUUGUUGUGUAAUAAUUAUUUGUGAUAAAAGGUGUACUUUGUAGCUAUUUCAUAUAGCUCUAUUGAAUGGUUUGCAUCAACGAUUGCUUCAGG